CCAAAAAAGAGUCGGCAAAGAAAUGACUUGAUAAUGUAAUCUCUUUUUCACAAGAUGAUGUUCGGAGAAUACAAACUCCCCAUGAUGUUGUCAUCGUCUCGAUGAUGAUAGCAAACUAUGAUAUAAAAAAAUUUUAGUUGAUAAUGGAAGCUCUACUGAUGUUCUCUUUUACUUGACUUUCUUCCGAAUAUGACUACCGACUGACCGACUCAAAAGAGUCAAUGCCAUUAGUCGAUUUUAUCGGAGAUGC
rnacentral:lncRNA from 1 species